GAUUGCCACCCAUACUUCUAGUGCCAACAUAGGCAUUAUGGGUCCCGAUCCUGCCAUUAACUUUUCUGUGGCAUCCAGGCAAGUCAUGCCAUUAGUGCCAUAGGAAUUUCACGGCCUAGUUCUCCCAUCAGCAUGUUCUUAUCUUUUUUUCCUCCCCUGAUUCCCCUUCUAUCAUUCCCAUCACCGUCUAACGAUGCUAAGGAAAGAAA
rnacentral:lncRNA from 1 species